GCCCCAGUAGCUCAGUCGGAUAGAGCGGGCGCCUUCUAAGCGCUAGGCCACGGGUUCGAAUCCUGUCUGGGGCGCCA
rnacentral:tRNA from 3 species